rnacentral:piRNA from 1 species
UAGCUACAAUUUGCCUUAUGAUGUUUGCAU